rnacentral:rRNA from 1 species
AACUAACGCUGGCGGCGUGCCUAACACAUGCAAGUCGUACGAGAAAGUCCGCUUCGGUGGAUAAGUAAAGUGGCGCACGGGUGAGUAACGCGUGGAUAAUCUACCCUUUAGUUGGGAAUAACGCACCGAAAGGUGCGCUAAUACCGAAUAAUACUGCAUAACUACUGUUGUGUAGUCAAAGAAGGCCUCUGUUUACAAGCUUUUACUGAAGGAUGAGUCCGCGUACCAUUAGCUAGUUGGUAGGGUAAUGGCCUACCAAGGCAACGAUGGUUAGCUGGUCUGAGAGGAUGAUCAGCCACACUGGAACUGAGACACGGUCCAGACACCUACGGGAGGCAG